GACGAACGCUGGCGGCGUGCUUAACACAUGCAAGUCGAACGGAAAGGCCCUGCUUUUGUGGGGUGCUCGAGUGGCGAACGGGUGAGUAACACGUGAGUAACCUGCCCUUGACUUUGGGAUAACUUCAGGAAACUGGGGCUAAUACCGGAUAGGAGCUCCUGCUGCAUGGUGGGGGUUGGAAAGUUUCGGCGGUUGGGGAUGGACUCGCGGCUUAUCAGCUUGUUGGUGGGGUAGUGGCUUACCAAGGCUUUGACGGGUAGCCGGCCUGAGAGGGUGACCGGCCACAUUGGGACUGAGAUACGGCCCAGACUCCUACGGGAGGCAGCAGUGGGGAAUAUUGCACAAUGGGCGGAAGCCUGAUGCAGCAACUCCGCGUGCGGGAUGACGGCCUUCGGGUUGUAAACCGCUUUCGCCUGCGACGAAGCGUGAGUGACGGUAAUGGGUAAAGAAGCACCGGCUAACUACGUG
rnacentral:rRNA from 1 species